rnacentral:rRNA from 1 species
AGGGCACCACCAGGAGUGGAGCCUGCGGCUUAAUUUGACUCAACACGGGAAAUCUCACCAGGCCCGGACACCGGAAGGAUUGACAGAUUGAGAGCUCUUUCUUGAUUCGGUGGGUGGUGGUGCAUGGCCGUUCUUAGUUGGUGGAGCGAUUUGUCUGGUUAAUUCCGAUAACGGACGAGACUCUGGCCUACUAAAUAGACGUCAAAUCUCUUGUAGGUUUGUCGUAUGCUUCUUAGAGGGACGGGCGGCGUUUAGCCGCACGAGAAUGAGCAAUAACAGGUCUGUGAUGCCCUUAGAUGUCCGGGGCCGCACGCGCGCUACACUGAAGGAAGCAGCGUGUAACAACCUUGUUCUAACGAACUGGGUAACCCGUGGAACUUCCUUCAUGAUUGGGAUAGGGGUUUGCAAUUGUGCCCCUUGAACGAGGAAUUCCCAGGAAACACUAGUCAUCAGCUAGUGCUGAUUACGUCCCUUGCCCUUUGUCACACCGCCCGUCGCUACUACGAAUGAAUGGUUAAG